CAGCCGCCACGGUAAUACGUAGGUGGCAAGCGUUGUCCGGAAUUAUUGGGCGUAAAGGGCUCGCGGGCGGUUUCUUAAGUCUGAUGUGAAAGCCCCCGGCUCAACCGGGGAGGGUCAUUGGAAACUGGGAAACUUGAGUGCAGAAGAGGAGAGUGGAAUUCCACGUGUAGCGGUGAAAUGCGUAGAGAUGUGGAGGAACACCAGUGGCGAAGGCGACUCUCUGGUCUGUAACUGACGCUGAGGAGCGAAAGCGUGGGGAGCGAACAGGAUUAGAUACCCCCGUAGUCCCUGUCUCUUAUAC
rnacentral:rRNA from 1 species